rnacentral:piRNA from 1 species
UACAUGCAUGUGGAUGUGUGGUGUGUAC